rnacentral:rRNA from 1 species
CAGUCGACGCUUCUUUUUCCCCGGAGCUUGCUCCAUCGGAAAAAGAGGAGUGGCGAACGGGUGAGUAACACGUGGGUAACCUGCCCAUCAGAAGGGGAUAACACUUGGAAACAGGUGCUAAUACCGUAUAACAAUCAAAACCGCAUGGUUUUGAUUUGAAAGGCGCUUUCGGGUGUCGCUGAUGGAUGGACCCGCGGUGCAUUAGCUAGUUGGUGAGGUAACGGCUCACCAAGGCCACGAUGCAUAGCCGACCUGAGAGGGUGAUCGGCCACAUUGGGACUGAGACACGGCCCAAACUCCUACGGGAGGCAGCAGUAGGGAAUCUUCGGCAAUGGACGAAAGUCUGACCGAGCAACGCCGCGUGAGUGAAGAAGGUUUUCGGAUCGUAAAACUCUGUUGUUAGAGAAGAACAAGGAUGAGAGUAACUGUUCAUCCCUUGACGGUAUCUAACCAGAAAGCCACGGCUAACUACGUGCCAGCAGCCGCGGUAAUACGUAGGUGGCAAGCGUUGUCCGGAUUUAUUGGGCGUAAAGCGAGCGCAGGCGGUUUCUUAAGUCUGAUGUGAAAGCCCCCGGCUCAACCGGGGAGGGUCAUUGGAAACUGGGAGACUUGAGUGCAGAAGAGGAGAGUGGAAUUCCAUGUGUAGCGGUGAAAUGCGUAGAUAUAUGGAGGAACACCAGUGGCGAAGGCGGCUCUCUGGUCUGUAACUGACGCUGAGGCUCGAAAGCGUGGGGAGCAAACAGGAUUAGAUACCCUGGUAGUCCACGCCGUAAACGAUGAGUGCUAAGUGUUGGAGGGUUUCCGCCCUUCAGUGCUGCAGCUAACGCAUUAAGCACUCCGCCUGGGGAGUACGACCGCAAGGUUGAAACUCAAAGGAAUUGACGGGGGCCCGCACAAGCGGUGGAGCAUGUGGUUUAAUUCGAAGCAACGCGAAGAACCUUACCAGGUCUUGACAUCCUUUGACCACUCUAGAGAUAGAGCUUCCCCUUCGGGGGCAAAGUGACAGGUGGUGCAUGGUUGUCGUCAGC